AGUAAGGCGAAUGGCAAGAUGAGGGGGGCAGGGGUAGGAAAGGCACAGCUACAGGAUGAGAAGGCUGGGUCCAGUGGCUGGGGGUCUGGGAAGGAUUGGGAGGGGCUGAUCUAAGGGAUGUGCUGGAUGAGUUUCAGAAAAACUGGUGAAGAGCAAGCUGGACGGUGGUACUAUGUGGGCAAGCAGGGGGAAAGACAAGGCACACGGUGGUCCCGCUGUGGGUUACGUGAGAACUUGUGGACGGCUGCGUGAGUUCACGCAUUCCUAGCGUGAGGAAGAGCGAUACGUUGUUGGGACACUAGCGGGGUUUGGUGACUUUGUCAGCAUCCUUUGGUGGAAAUGUUGAAGGCCGUCCGCUUUCUGCUUAGGCUCAGUUCCUGUAUUGCUUUUGAGUGGUUUGAGUUCACUGAACCUUUUUGUAAGCAUCAGUUGCAUUAUUCUGAUGUUUUCAUUUUAUAAAUAAAAUCGCAGUUCAGUAUAAAAUGAAAAUAAUCUGCAAUAUUUUGAUUUUAAAUUUCUGCGCCUUACUUUCCUUGAAACUGGGUUUUCCGAUACGGUGUUAGAAGACGUUACAGAAUUCCGAGUGUUAUUUCUGCGUCUUGCUACUUAACCUUUGGCGUCCUGGGGAAAAACACUGUUGAGAUUACACCUGAGGGCAGAAGAAUCACAAAGCUAGACCAGACUUUGCUAAAUGGAAAUAACAUAACAAUGGUGUGCAAGGGGAUCACUGUCUUUGUUACCCACUCCAUAGGCUGGUUCAUACUGUGGCUUCUACCUCAGGAGCAUUUGCCUGCAUGAGUAUGAAGGUGGAAAACAUCUACGUUUCUUCCGUUAUUGCUGAAUUCUGCAACUUCCUAAAUACCCCAAAAGCAGACUGAUGGUAGUUUUUGCUUGCCUGCAUAGAUGGCUACAAAGUCUGGACUUUCUACAGAAGGGCAUUCCUAAUUUUGUGGGGAGAGAAGAGGAAGACUGACUUGAGUUGAAGUCUGCUCUGUGUGAAUGAGCUGUUUCCUGGAGGAGAAGGACCUGAAGUAUAAAUUGAUGCAGUUGUCAUCUAUGAAGAUGUGUUUUAUCUAUAUAUACACACGUAUAAUCUAAAUAGACCUUUUCCAUUAUGGGUGUGGGUUGUUUGUGUGUGUGUUUUGUUUAUGCACUCUUGCAGUUGACAUUUGGUAAAAGACAGGGAUUUCGUCUUCAGGAAAGGUGCAUUGGUAGUAAUAAUGCUGACUGUAAGUUGAAAUCAUAGUGGCUUUCUUGUAAAGAUGCACUGAUCUGCCCUGAAUAAAAGGCUUUCUUUUUGUUA